UCGCCGCACGGAGAUGGCAUUCCUCCGCGAACCGCCGAACGACGCCCUCGUCGUGACGCUGAUGAUGCCUACAUCGUC
rnacentral:ncRNA from 1 species